CAGUGAUAUCUUACUUGUUGGUUCUUCAUAAACUUCAGAAGGUCUGGUGUGGUUUUUUUUCUAGCCCUGUAAUAGGAAAGUUUCUGGAUUUUUUUUUUUAAGAGGUGGAAAAAAGAGAAGAUAGUUUCCAACAUCACUUCAGGUCAAAGCAAUCCUGUUCCAUGGACUGCUAUGAAGCCAGGGGCACAAGAAUUUCAGGGACAACAGCAUCCUAGAAAUACUUGAGCUGCUCAUCUUCAAUUUGUAGUUAAAAAUAGAAAACAAGGUGCAAUGUUAAUUGCAUUCUAUCUCACAGAUGAUUGCGGUCCUACAGACUGGGUGUGUUGAACUUCCUGAGAAGAAAUCAGAGGAUUCAUCAACAGUUAUUAACCUAAACGUCUCUCGCUGAAGUGACUUAACAGCCAGUUUGGAGUCGUUUCAGCUGUCUGGAAAGAAGAGAGCGGACGUGGCAUUUUGGGAACGCUGGCUUUUAGCCACAGAGCAGGAACAGAAGAAAUUAAUGAGAGAUUAAAAAGAAACAAAGUGACCUUCAAAUACUUUUCCAAUCAGCAGAAACACCCUGCGUGCGUCCUUCUGAAACUGCUGCUAGAAUUUCUGUGCUGUCUUACCAGAUUUAAACAGAAACUUACUUCCAGCAAACAUAGUAUGACUAAUUUCAUAAAGUCAACUGGAGACACCACCCAUUAGAGAAGGCACCUUUUAAUGUCAGGUUUGUGAUUUAUGUACCUGUUUUGGGGGCACAGGAGCAGAAUCUGAAAGUACCCUGUCUGACUCCGGAGGUAUGAUAAUCAGACUGGGUGCCGGACGCGCGCUGUUAUACAUAGCUAUCUAAUCAGGUUGACGCGUGAAAAAUAGCCAUGUACGAUGAUGUAUAUUCCUUGUUCCCUUACCCAGGGAAGCAAACUAAGUUAUGAGGUUAGCGUAACAAGCGAAAAAAGGUAUACAUUGACCUUUCCAUACAACUGUUUUAGAAGGCACUAUUUGUUAACUGCCACUGGGAUUGAGUGCUCCCGAGCGUGCUAAGCCUUGCCAGCCCACUGGAUUCACUUCCCCGGAUCAGAGGCUGAACAUGACAAAUAUGCCUAUCAAUGUAUUCCUUGGAGCUACAUGUGUUUCUGUAUUUUCAGGAUCAGCAAGCUUGUUAAGUAAAAAGUUAUGGGAAGUAUGUACGCAGGAUGUUGUAACAAACUAUCGUUGCAAUAUAAGGUUGAAUGUUUCAUUUAUUUAUUCAUUUGGGGGAGAAGAGAGGACAAUUUAUAUUUUAAACAGCUCAGCUAUAAAUAUACCGUUGCGCCAAGACAAAUGGUUAAAACAUCGGUUAUAAAUUUUAUUUUGGCAUUGCAGUAGAUUGUGUAUAUUCUUUCCUGAAUGUAUGUGUGAAUUAGCAUUUUUAUAUAUUCAUAAUGUGACCUUUAGGUUUUAAACUUUCUUUAGCAAAUAGUCCCCCUGGAAUCUGUGAGGUCUGUGACAUCUGUCCCCUACAAUUUAAUCCAGUAUUUUGUGCAGUCUUAGAAAUUCUAAUCCACCAUCUUUUUAAAUUUUCUGUCAAUGCUCCUUCAACAUCAAAACUUUUUUUUUCUUUUUAAACACACUUGUCAAAUAGGGAACUACUGUUGCUUAUUUAAAAAAAGAAUUUUACCCUGGGAGGGAGUAAGGGGUGAAUCAAACAAAAACCUUUUUUUGUUUGUUUUUUUUUUUCUGUUUUUUUUCCUUUUCCAGGUUGAUUUGGCAGUGCGCUGUUUUGAUGUGCACAUGGUUGUGUCCUCUUUUGUUUGUCUUCUGUUGGCUGGGAUGGAUGGAGUAAAUCCCCAGCCUUAUACACGACCCCACCAGUACUCCCCACUGAGCUGCACUGUUGUGCUUCAGAAAGUGAAGUGCGCUUUUCACAGAAUAUAUACUAAUGAAAACAGGUAGCUGGACUGGACAUUAAUUUCCUUACUGCGUGUCAUAAAUCUGUCACAGAAAGAUAACUGGGCUAACAUUUAUCUUUAGUGAUCUUUGUUUUUACAUUAAACAUAUUAAUAAAAAUAAUGGAGCUUAAACUGAGCUUCAUUUCAGGGUCCGUCAAACGAUCAAAUGGGAAUGAAAUGAAUAGAAGGGUGAUGGUGGGGGGUGUUUUGUUUUGUUUAAAAAACACAAACAAACAAACAACAAAAAACUCCCCUAAUAUAAAAAUCUUUAUUAUACUAAAGAUGUGGUUUAGGAAUCUUGUUCUUUGUGUUACAUGUGAAACACAUUUGAAAGGUCACAUGUAUUACUGAUGAGCUCAUUGUUUAUCAUUAAAAAUAUUUGUCAAA